rnacentral:rRNA from 1 species
GAGACUUAACUUAUGCCGGACAAUACGAUCAACUGCUUAAAAUCCAAAGAAUUUGGCGGUGUCUUAUAUAAUCAGGGGAACCUGUCUCUUAAUUCGAUAACCCACGAAAAAUUAUCCUAAUUUAGAAUAUUCAGCUUGUGUACUGCUGUCGUCAGUAAACCUCUAAAAGAAAGUUUACAAAUAUAAACCCACUAUUUACGUCAAGUCAAAGUGCAGCCAAUAAUUAGGGGGUAUGAUGGGUUACAAUCUAUAUAAAGACUACGAAAAAUGUUUAUCAUUUGAAGGUGGACUUGAUAGUAAUUAUAAUAAAUAUUAUAAUUAAAUAUAAUUUAAGACAUGCACACAUCGCCCGUCACUCCCAUC